UUGGAGGGCAAGUCUGGUGCCAGCAGCCGCGGUAAUUCCAGCUCCAAUAGCGUAUAUUAAAGUUGUUGCAGUUAAAAAGCUCGUAGUUGAAUUUCGGGAUCAAUAUACCGGUCGUGCCUCAGGUAUGAACUGGUCUUAUUGGUUUCUCCCUUCUGACGAACCAUGAUGUCAUUAAUUUGAUGUCGUGGAGAAUCAGGACUGUUACUUUGAAAAAAUUAGAGUGUUUAAAGCAGGCUAACGCUUGAAUACAUUAGCAUGGAAUAAUGAAAUAGGACGUUCGAUCCUAUUUUGUUGGUUUCUAGGAUCGACGUAAUGAUUAAUAGGGAUAGUUGGAGGCAUUAGUAUUCAAUUGUCAGAGGUGAAAUUCUUGGAUUUAUUGAAGACUAACUACUGCGAAAGCAUUUGCCAAGGAUGUUUUCAUUAAUCAAGAACGAAAGUUAGGGGAUCGAAGACGAUCAGAUACCGUCGUAGUCUUAACCAUAAACUAUGCCGACUAGGGAUCGGAUGAUGUUAAUUUUAUAAUGACUCAUUCGGCGCCUUACGGGAAAC
rnacentral:rRNA from 1 species